GCCAGCAUAGCACAGUGGUUUGAGUGUUGGACUCCAACUCUGGAGGCCAGGGUUCGAUCCCAGCUUGACC